UAAAUUUUAAUUUGGGUUACAUAAAAGAUUGUUCUUAAAGUGGCACAUAUUGACAUUGUUCUCACACCUAUUAACUUGCAGCUGGAGAGUGAAAAGGCCAAGAGACCAUGCUUGCAGUGCAUCUAAAGCAUGAAUGGAUCAGAGAAGUCCAGAAAUUUCCUUCCUAGGUAUUUCUGCUGACAACAGCUAGCCUGGGGAAACUGUGCUCUGUCCUUAAGAAUCAGUAGGGAGAUCUGGUACUCCACUUGAUGGGUUUUGAAAGGAACAUUUGUUAAAUGAUUUGAGUAAACAAGGUGCCAAUAUUCAAGAGUUAGAUGAGAUCUUCUCAGAAAAGAGAGUGAGUUCAGUUUCUUCCCAGUGCUGAUGCCUCUUUGCCCUUCAAUGCUUUUUGUCUUCCUGCUAUUCCUUUGAUUCAAGAAUGUAUUCCCAUCACUAUGCAGAGCCUGAGAGAUGUGUUUUCUGGCCUUUCUUGUUCCUUGGGAAGAAUGUGACACACUGCAGUGUUGUCUUCCUGAUCCUGUAGCUGGCCUGAAAAACCGGUAGCAGAAAAGAGUGCACAUGCUUAACGUUGAAUUUUACUGAUAACAACCAAGUGAUGUUACUUCUGGCAAGCUACAAAUAUUUGCCUUUCCUACUGUGAGAACCAUUCCUUAUGGAAACUGGCUAAGAUGUGAAACUUCUUGCCUUGAGCUGGAAUUGUAUUUAACCAGAAGUAUUUUAAACCAUUUUUCUCCUCCGCUUCUAACUCAUGACCCAACUCAUGAUUACUAAAUAAAAAUGCAUGAGAAUUAC